rnacentral:rRNA from 1 species
ACUCAAAGGAAUAGACGGGGGCUCACACAAGCGGUGGAGCAUGUGGCUUAAUUCGAGGCUACGCGAAGAACCUUAUCCUGGGCUUGACAUGUCCGCAAGGGUGAAGACGUAGGGUCCGGAAACGGCACCCCACAGGUAUCCAAUCCUGAGCUUCACACAGGUGCUGCAUGGCUGUCGUCAGCUCGUGUCGUGAGAUGUCGGGUUAAGUCCCAUAACGAGCGAAACCCCUGUCUCCAGUUGCCAGCGCGUCAAGGCGGGGACUCUGGAGAGACUGCCGGUGUCAAACCGGAGGAAGGUGGGGAUGACGUCAAGUCCUCAUGGCCCUUAUGCCCAGGGCUGCACACGUGCUACAAUGGCGUAUACAGAGGGACGCGAAGACGCGAGUCUAAGCCGAUCCCAGAAAAUACGCCCCAGUUCAGAUUGCAGGCUGCAACUCGCCUGCAUGAAGUUGGAAUCGCUAGUAAUCGCGGGUCAGCAACACCGCGGUGAAUGUGUUCCUGAGCCUUGCACACACCGCCCGU